CUACGGGGAGCAGCAGUGGGGAAUAUUGGACAAUGGGCGAAAGCCUGAUCCAGCCAUGCCGCGUGUGUGAAGAAGGCCUUCGGGUUGUAAAGCACUUUCAGUGGGGAAGAAAGCCUUGGGGCUAAUACCCUCGAGGAAGGACAUCACCCACAGAAGAAGCACCGGCUAACUCCGUGCCAGCAGCCGCGGUAAUACGGAGGGUGCGAGCGUUAAUCGGAAUUACUGGGCGUAAAGCGCGCGUAGGCGGUCUGAUAAGCCGGUUGUGAAAGCCCCGGGCUCAACCUGGGAACGGCAUCCGGAACUGUCAGGCUAGAGUGCAGGAGAGGAAGGUAGAAUUCCCGGUGUAGCGGUGAAAUGCGUAGAGAUCGGGAGGAAUACCAGUGGCGAAGGCGGCCUUCUGGACUGACACUGACGCUGAGGUGCGAAAGCGUGGGUAGCAAACAGGAUUAGAUACCCCAGUAGUC
rnacentral:rRNA from 1 species